AAGUCUUCGGGGAGCCGUAAGUAGGCUUUGAUCCGGAGGUCUCCGAAUGGGGGAACCCAGCAUGUGCAGACAUGCUAUCCUUAAGUGAAUACAUAGCUUAAGGAGGGAACACGCAGUGAACUGAAACAUCUAAGUAGCUGCAGGAAGAGAAAGAAAUAUCGAUUUCCCAAGUAGCGGCGAGCGAACAGGAAAGAGCCCAAACCGUCAGAUUUAUCUGCCGGGGUUGUAGGACUGAGACAUGGCACUUCAGAGGAUAGCAGAAGCGUUUGGGAAAGCGCGCCAGAGAGGGUGAGAGCCCCGUAAGCGAAAUCCAAAGAAGGCCUAUCAGUAUCCUGAGUAGGGCGGGACACGUGAAAUCCCGUUUGAAUCCGCGAGGACCAUCUCGCAAGGCUAAAUACUAACCAGUGACCGAUAGUGAACCAGUACCGUGAGGGAAAGGUGAAAAGAACCCCGGGAGGGGAGUGAAAGAGAACCUGAAACCGUGUGCCUACAAGUAGUCAGAGCCCGUUAACGGGUAAUGGCGUGCCUUUUGUAGAAUGAACCGGCGAGUUGCGUUAGUCAGCAAGGUUAAGUCAGAAAAGACGGAGCCGUAGCGAAAGCGAGUCUGAAUAGGGCGAGCAGUUGGCUGACGCAGACCCGAAACCAAGUGACCUACCCAUGACCAGGUUGAAGGCGCGGUAAAACGCGCUGGAGGACCGAACCCACGUAAGUUGAAAAUUGCGGGGAUGAGUUGUGGGUAGCGGUGAAAUUCCAAACGAACUUGGAGAUAGCUGGUUCUCUCCGAAAUAGCUUUAGGGCUAGCCUCGCAAAGAGGAUGCUGGAGGUAGAGCUCUGUUUGGACUAGGGGCCCGUCAAGGGUUACUGAAUUCAGAUAAACUGCGAAUUCCAGACAUUUAUGUGCGGGAGUCAGACUGCGAGUGAUAAGAUCCGUAGUCGAAAGGGAAACAGCCCAGAUCACCAGUUAAGGUCCCAAAAUUCAUGCUAAGUGGAAAAGGAUGUGGAGUUGCGCAGACAACUAGGACGUUGGCUCAGAAGCAGCCAUCAUUCAAAGAGUGCGUAAUAGCUCACUAGUCGAGUGACGCCGCGCCGAAAAUUUACCGGGGCUAAGCAUGAUACCGAAACUGUGGAUGUGCAUUUAUGCACGUGGUAGGAGAGCGUUCUAGCGGCGGUGAAGCAUGAC
rnacentral:rRNA from 1 species